AGCGCAGGCGGGAAGACAAGUUGGAAGUGAAAUCCAUGGGCUCAACCCAUGAACUGCUUUCAAAACUGUUUUUCUUGAGUAGUGCAGAGGUAGGCGGAAUUCCCGGUGUAGCGGUGGAAUGCGUAGAUAUCGGGAGGAACACCAGUGGCGAAGGCGGCCUACUGGGCACCAACUGACGCUGAGGCUCGAAAGUGUGGGUAGCGAAAC
rnacentral:rRNA from 1 species